GUGUCAGCAGCCGCGGUAAUACGUAGGGAGCAAGCGUUGUCCGGAAUCAUUGGGCGUAAAGCGCGCGUAGGUGGCCACAUAAGUCCGUUGUGAAAGUCAAAGGCUCAACCUUUGAAAGCCGAUGGAUACUGUGUGGCUAGAGUACGGAAGAGGCGAGUGGAAUUCCUGGUGUUGCGGGGGACUGCGCAGAGAUCAGGAGGAACACCAAUAGAGAAGGCAGCGCGCUGGGACGUUACUGACACUGAGGCGCG
rnacentral:rRNA from 1 species